rnacentral:rRNA from 1 species
UACGUAGGGUGCGAGCGUUAAUCGGAAUUACUGGGCGUAAAGCGUGCGCAGGCGGUUUUGUAAGCCAGAUGUGAAAUCCCCGGGCUUAACCUGGGAAUGGCAUUUGGGACUGCAAGGCUUGAGUGCGGCAGAGGAGACUGGAAUUCCUGGUGUAGCAGUGAAAUGCGUAGAUAUCUGGAGGAACACCGGUGGCGAAGGCGGCAUCCUGGACCGGCAUUGACGCUGAGGCGCGAAAGCCAGGGGAGCAAACGGG